AAAGGGAGAAAAGAGGGCUCAGUGGAGAGGAAAAAAAAGAAAGAGACUUGUGAUGUGAAAGUUGCAAGGCUACUUAGUCUGUAUAUGUCUUUUCAUUAUCAGGUUUCCUGGCCAGAUUUCUCCAGACUUACUACUUUGAUCUCAGGGGGAAUCUUGGUCCCACUGCAUCUGUGACAGCGGACAGUCUAAAUGCUGAGCAAGGAUUUCACCAUUUGGCCUAUGCUGUAUCAUCGCAGGCACAUAGAAGGAAAGAUUGCACCCUGCACUUAACACAGAGAAACCUGAAGUAACUUGUGUUACUGUCUCACGAUCUUGGAAUUGCAUGAAUAAAGCUGAAGUGGAAGGAACUAGGGGGCUUGACACAUCCCUUGCAUCUUCCAUUUACUCUGACCACAGUCCCUCCCUGUUCUCUCAAGUGGAGCUAAGCCCUGCUUCCCUCCCUCUUGAUUCCCAGACAGCUACAUGGUAAGUUUUCAUUAUCUCUGUUCUUGUUGCCACAAGGUAAAAUUCUGGCAGACUCACUCUAAAAUCCAUUAGCACUGGGCAUUGAGGGCAGACUACUUCAUGCCCAUCAAUGAUCAUUCAGUCCUGUUCCAGGCUGACUGCAAGAGAAGGAAGAUAGUAUUGAAUUAGCAUUGCAGCUGAACUUCAGCAUAGAUUGUUAUAGGAAUAAAAUAUGAAGCAAAAUAUGUGACAGAAUUAAAUCCAUCAGUUCUAAUAAAGGAAACAGAAGAAAGCAAAGAAAUCUUGGACCCUUAAAUCCCAUUAACCAGGCCAGAGAGAGAAUGUGUUAAAAGAGAGCUACGCUGUAUCUUUUUUCAUUGUUUGAUGAAAUAAUCUUUUCUCACCCUUUAAGUGGUGUGUUUAAAAAUCCUGGUAUUUCUGAAACAAAGAGAAUACACAGCCACCGAGCUAGCUGGUUUUUAUACCUUCCUUUUCUGAGUAUUGUCCUUCAGUACAAUACAGAGCCAUUUCUUUGUUCUCACAAGCUAGCAGUUAAAUUGUAUGUAAAUGUAUGCAAAUUAGAUGCUGUCUAAUAAAGAGAGUCAUUAGAUGGAAGAAAUAUUUAGUUUAGGGGGGAAAAAAGAAAGAAAAGAAAGCAGGUGUAUUUUGCAAUAGAAAAUGUAAGAUUGCAAAACCCCCUCAAACUUUGGGUGAAGGCUUUUUGUAAAACCAUUAAAACAUUUUCUAAGACUUGCCCUAUUCUUGGUCCCUUCUUCUAUGCUUCUUUAUGUGUAUAUGUAUGUAUACUUCUGCAGUCUUUUCCACAGAACUCACACGGCUGUGCUGUGUGUAUAUGUACGUAAUUGAAAUGAUGUGUAAAUACUGUAUUCAUAAAUAAUGUUUAUGAUUACUUUAAACCAUAUAGCUAUGAAUUUACAUGCAUGUACUUUGUGUUAGGGUGUGUUUUUGAUUUCUGAGUCUAUACAGGUGGAGUCCAUGUGGUAAAUUUUACUGUCAUGGAUUGAUUUAUUCAUUAUAUGCCUUGCCUGUGUACAUUAUGCUUCCUAAAUCAUCUAUGUCAAUUUUAUAAACCCCUCUCCUCUCUUCAACAAUUCUAAAGCUCUCUCUUUUUUUGUUUUUUCUUCACUUUGCUUACUGAACCUCAGUGUUGGGUAUGUUUCCAGUCUUCUACUGGAAUUUUCUACCAAGUAAUUCCUUUUGAAGUAUGGACCUGAUUCAAGCCUGAAGUAGAGUGACUUUUCUGAAUGUGACAAAGCUGUAGCCUGGAGCACUAAAAUGCUAGGAAUGUGUCCUCAAAGGCUGGAGAUCCCACACCUAUGGGUGGAGCACUCAGCAUCCAUCUAUGCUCUGAAAGAUUUAAAAUUGAUGAAACUUGCAUUCUUGCCAGUUCUAAGAAGAAAAUAAUUAAGAUUUUAAUCUUUGUACCCUUGAAUCUGUAGUUCUGAUCUGUCAGUUCUUCUGCCUGGAGAGAGUAGCAUACAUAGAUGACAUGGCUCAAUUAUUAUGAAGUCGUUAUUGUUUUUUGUUUCUGAUGGUCAGUUGUCAUGAUUCAGGGUGGGGAGCCAGUAGCUGUACUUAAGGCAUAUUUUUUCAGUUGCAUUUUUGCAAGUCUGGAAGCCUAAAGACAUAUAUGUAUAUGUGUAUAAAAUGUAUGUAUAUAAAAAUAAUGUUGUUUAAAUAUUUACAUAUAAAGCCAAGAGAUUGGCUUCCUUCCCAGAAUUACUGGAACUACCUUCCCCAGGAACAUUUGGACUUGAAAAAUCUCUACAGCAACACUUUUCUUCAAAAACUAAACAACUUGUGAAGUGAGGGACUAGCUCUGCACCCUUUGCUGUUCAUAUUGGUUCUGUUGUUUGGGGUGAUGGAAUGAGAGAGGGGAGAGACUCCCAUGCAUGAGCAAUACAUUUCCAGUUAAUUAUGACAAGAUGCUCUUUUAUUGCUCUUUCCAUCCACAGUUUCUUAUUGAUUUAUUUUGAGAGAAUAUUUACGAAAAAAUAUGUAGCACAAUGGGGAUUUUUUUUUCAUUGUUCUAGAACAGGUCCAUGCAAUGGAGUGCAUCUGGGCCACAUUUAGUCCAGGGGCAGCAGUUCCUGUCCAAGCAGCUGCAGGGCAGAUGAACCAAUCGCUCAGAAAGAACUUGAAUCUCUGUUUAUCCCUUAUCCAAACUGUAUUUGUUGAGCUACCAGCAGAGAAGCCACAGUGUGAGUCUUCUGCCCCAUGGGGAAAUAUAGACAACAUCAUUGUAAGGAUGCUGUGAAAGGUUGGCAAUGAAUAUUUCACAUAUAGAAGGAGGAUACCUUCAUUCUAUUCAAGUUAUUCUUGAACAUGCAUGGUAUUCUUGGAGGGGAAUACCUCAAUUAGGAGAUGUAAGGUGAGGAUGGGAAUGCAAGAAGAAUCUGAGCUUUAGUAUGAGGAUGCUAGAGAAAGAUAAAGUUAAUAAAGUAUGGCAGAACACAGGACAUUGUGAUGAGAGGGAGGUAUGAGGUAACAUUAGCAAAUAGAAAAUGUUAACAAUUUACUCACUCACUUGGGACGCUGCUCUUCUAGGUUGUCUGGAGGCAACCUAGAGCUGAGUCACCAGUAAUGCAGACAUUUAGCACAGAUGUUUUCACACAGUUUGCAGUUUAUACACGUAACUUCAGCUACCUCUCAGAAUCUGAAAGCCUGUGUUAAUCCUGAGACACUAACCAGGGAUGUUCCUUCUGAAGGCAGGACAGGCUAGCUGUCGAAGAUAGUACUUUGUCUCCCAGAAGUAGAUUCCUCGAGAAGAAUUCAAAACACAUAGGCAGGCAAGAACAUGUUCACACAAGGGAAGAACAGUGCAGGAUUAGGUGCAGCAGUAUGAUUAACUCCGUGUUCCUCUCCAGACUUCCUCUGUUCGAUGACUAUGUACUUCUGAGGAUACAUGUGUCUCUACCUUGCCCAUCUUGAUAAUAAGGGUAAUACAGGUUUCUACAUCAAAAUACAUUGUGGGGAUAUGUAGUAUCCUGAGGCAAGUUAAAAAAGGUGCAGCCAGCACUUUGAGGGAGGUGAUCUUCCCCCUCUACUCUGCUCUGGUGAGACCACAUCUGGAGUACUAUGUCCAGUUCUGGACUCUCCAGUUCAAAAAAGACAGGGAUUUCCUAGAAACAGUCCAGUGGAGAGUAACAAAGAUGAUUAAGAGCCUGGAGCAUCUCCCAUGUGAGGAAAGGGUGAGACACCUUGGACUCUUCAGACUGGAGAAGGGAAGACAAGAAGGGGAUCUCGUUAUCUAAAGGGAGGGAAUCAAGUCGAUAGGAGUGGAUUCUUCAGUGGCAAGCAACAGCAGAACAAGGGGCUGCAGGCACAAACUGGGACACAGGAAGUUCCGUGCAAGCACAAAGAAGAGCUUCUUUACUGUCAGAGUGGCGGAGCACUGGUGUAGGCUGCUCAGAGAGGUGGUGAAGUCUCCUGUGGAGAUAUUCAGGACCUGUCUGGAUGCCUUCCUGUGCAACCUGCAAUGGGGAACACUGCUUUCGCAGGGGGGCUGGACUCGAUGAUCUCUAGAGGC
rnacentral:lncRNA from 1 species